GCGUCAGAUGUGUAUAAGAGACAGGUGAAUCAUCGAAUCUUUGAACGCACAUUGCCCCCCUCGGUAUUCCGUGGGGGAUGCCUGUUCGAGCGUCAUUUGUACCCUCAAGCAUUGCUUGGUGUUGGGCGAUUGUCCGUUUAAGGACUCGCCUUAAAUAUAUUGGCAGCUGGUAUUCUGGUUUUAAGCGUAGCACAAUUACGUUUUCCUCGAGAGCGCCCGCAUCCACAAAGUACAUUAUCACGUUUGACCUCGGAUCAGGUAGGGAUACCCGCUGAACUUAAGCAUAUCAAUAAGCGGAGG
rnacentral:misc_RNA from 1 species